UCGUGAGGGGUGGUCGUUUGCCGCCCUGCGAAGUUUACGCGAUAUAUCGUGCGAAUUACGUAUCCUUUGUUAGAAGUUGUACCUAGAAUGUGAUGUUUUAAUUUAGUUUGAGGAGCACACAAUGAAGGGCCCGUUCAUCGUAUGUGCGUUCAUCUCCAUAUUGGAAACGGAUGCUUUUCCCAACAAUGCGAGGCGCCCUAUUGUUGGAACGCACCGGAUUGCAUUUGAACC